GAUGAACGCUGGCGGCGUGCCUAAUACAUGCAAGUCGAGCGAACGGACGAGAAGCUUGCUUCUCUGAUGUUAGCGGCGGACGGGUGAGUAACACGUGGAUAACCUACCUAUAAGACUGGGAUAACCUCGGGAAACCGGAGCUAAUACCGGAUAAUAUUUUGAACCGCAUGGUUCAAAAGUGAAAGACGGUCUUGCUGUCACUUCUAGAUGGAUCCGCGCUGCAUUAGCUAGUUGGUAAGGUAACGGCUUACCACGGCAACGAUGCAUAGCCGACCUGAGGGGGUGAUCGGCCACCCUGGAAGUGAGACGCGGUCCAGACUCCUACGGGAGGCAGCAGUAGGGAAUCUUCCGCAAUGGGCGAAAGCCUGACGGAGCAACGCCACGUGAGUGAUGAAGGUCCUCGGAUCGUAAAACUCUGUUAUUAGGGAAGAACAUAUGUGUAAGUAACUGUGCACAUCUUGACGGUACCUAAUCAGAAAGCCACGGCUAACUACGUG
rnacentral:rRNA from 1 species